AUUGAACGCUGGCGGCAGGCUUAACACAUGCAAGUCGAGCGAGCGGCGGACGGGUGAGUAAUGUCUGGGAAACUGCCUGAUGGAGGGGGAUAACUACUGGAAACGGUAGCUAAUACCGCAUACCAUCAGAUGUGCCCAGAUGGGAUGAGCUAGUAGGUGGGGUAAUGGCUCACCUAGGCGACGAUGCCUAGCUGGGCUGAGAGGAUGACCAGCCACACUGGAACUGAGACACGUUCCAGACUCCUACGGGAGGCAGCAGUGGGGAAUAGUGCACAAUGGGCGCAAGCCUGAUGCAGCCAUGCCGCGUGUGUGAAGAAGGCCUUCGGGUUGUAAAGCACUUUCAGCGAGGAGGCGUUACUCGCAGAAGAAGCACCGGCUAACUCCGUGCCAGCAGCCGCGGUAAUAC
rnacentral:rRNA from 1 species